AAAUUGAAGAGUUUGAUCAUGGCUCAGAUUGAACGCUGGCGGCAGGCCUAACACAUGCAAGUCGAGCGGAAACGAGUUAUCUGAACCUUCGGGGRACGAUARCGGCGUCGAGCGGCGGACGGGUGAGUAAUGCCUAGGAAAUUGCCCUGAUGUGGGGGAUAACCAUUGGAAACGAUGGCUAAUACCGCAUGAUGCCUACGGGCCAAAGAGGGGGACCUUCGGGCCUCUCGCGUCAGGAUAUGCCUAGGUGGGAUUAGCUAGUUGGUGAGGUAAGGGCUCACCAAGGCGACGAUCCCUAGCUGGUCUGAGAGGAUGAUCAGCCACACUGGAACUGAGACACGGUCCAGACUC
rnacentral:rRNA from 1 species